rnacentral:rRNA from 1 species
GAACCAAAAAUAGUAACUCAUCAAGAAAACACUAUUUUUAUUAAUGUUGACCUAACACAAGAACAUUGUAAGAAAGAUUAAAAGAAAAAGAAGGAACUCGGCAAAUAUUAACCUCGCCUGUUUACCAAAAACAUCGCCUCUUGAAUUUUAUAAGAGGUCCAGCCUGCCCAGUGACUCUGUUCAACGGCCGCGGUAUCCUAACCGUGCGAAGGUAGCGUAAUCACUUGUUCUUUAAAUGUGGACUAGUAUGAAUGGCACUACGAGGGUUAUACUGUCUCCUUUCUCUAAUCAGUGAAACUAAUUUUCCCGUGAAGAAGCGGGAAUACACCUAUAAGACGAGAAGACCCUAUGGAGCUUUAAACAAUCCAGCAAUUACUUUUUAAAUUAUAAAUUUCAGAAUGUUCAUUUUUNUAAGUAAUGUGACUGCAAGUUUUCGGUUGGGGUGACCAUGGAGAAUAACACAACCUCCAUAUUGAAUGAAUUUUAUUCUAAGCUAAAAAUUACUUAUUAAAGCAUCAAUACACUGACAUCUAUUGACCCAAUAUAUUUGAUCAACGAACCAAGUUACCCUAGGGAUAACAGCGCAAUCCACUUCAAGAGCCCCUAUCGACAAGUGGGUUUACGACCUCGAUGUUGGAUCAGGGUAUCCCAGUGGCGCAGCCGCU